ensembl:lncRNA
GGUCCUAGAACCUGCGCGCCCGCAGAGAGAGUCCCGGAGCCGUAAGGCUAAAUGCGCUGCCGGGCGUGGCUGGGCCUUGAGUAAAUGCUGGAGGGAGCUAACCCGCCUCUCCCUACCGCUGGCGAGGAGACAGCUAUCUCCCCUUGCCGAAACAAUUCAGAGGCGACGCUGUGGAUAAUUCUGGAUGGGGACUCUGGCACAGAGGGAGGAGAAGGAAGGAAGACAAGGAUCCAUUGUUCAUCUCCACUAGGAACCCAAGAGAAGGAAAAGGAAGAGAAGAGUGACUCUGAUGUGGAAAGGCAACUGUGCUGGUGGGGAUAGCAGUUAAAACACAGUCACCCAAGUCCUGCCUCAGAGAGGAGCAUAUACAGUCACUUCAGAAUUCAGAGACGUACAUCGAUAAUGGAAUAACGAUGGAGUUUAGAGAAGAGAUGCUAUAUCACUUUCAAAGAUAAGUUCUGCUUACCUAUAGAA